rnacentral:rRNA from 1 species
GAUGAACGCUGGCGGCGUGCCUAAUACAUGCAAGUCGAGCGAAAGGACCCGGAGCUUGCUUCUCUGAUGUUAGCGGCGCACGGGUGUGUAACGCGUGGAUACCCUACCUAUCAUACUGGGAAAACUUCGAGAAACCGGCGCUAAUACCGUAUAAUAUUUUGCACCGCAUGGUUCAAAGGUGAAAGACGGCCUUGCUGGCACUUAUAGCUGGAUCCCCGCUGCAUUAGAUAGUUGGUGAGGUAACGGCUUAUCAAGGCAACGAUGCAUAGGCGACCGGUGAGGGUGAUCGGCGACCUUGGAGGGUGAACGCGGACAUUGCGACUAAGGGACGGACCAGUCGGGAACCGGCCGCAGUGGGCGAAAACAUGACGGAGCAGCGGGGAGUGAGUUGUGACGGCCUUCGGUGCGUAAAACCCUGUUAUGAGGGAAGAACAUAUGUGUAAGUAACUGUGCACAGCGUGACGGUACCUAAUCAGAAAGCCACGGCUAACUACGUG